UACGAGGGGGGCGAGCGUUGUUCGGAAUUAUUGGGCGUAAAGGGUGCGUAGGCGGCCUGACAAGUCUGAUGUGAAAUCCCUGGGCUCAACCCCGGGCCUGCAUUCGAUACGGGCAGACUAGAGUUCGGUAGGGGAGUCUGGAAUUCCUGGUGUAGCGGUGAAAUGCGCAGAUAUCAGGAGGAACACCGGUGGCGAAGGCGGGACUCUGGGCCGAUACUGACGCUGAGGAGCGAAAGCGUGGGGAGCAAACAGG
rnacentral:rRNA from 1 species